rnacentral:rRNA from 1 species
AUUGAACGCUGGCGGCAUGCUUUACACAUGCAAGUCGAACGGUAACAGGUUAAGCUGACGAGUGGCGAACGGGUGAGUAAUGCAUCGGAACGUGCCCGGUCGUGGGGGAUAACACUUCGAAAGAAGUGCUAAUACCGCAUACGAUCUGAGGAUGAAAGCGGGGGACCGUAAGGCCUCGCGCGAUCGGAGCGGCCGAUGUCAGAUUAGGUAGUUGGUGGGGUAAAGGCCUACCAAGCCGACGAUCUGUAGCUGGUCUGAGAGGACGACCAGCCACACGGGGACUGAGACACGGCCCAGACUCCUACGGGAGGCAGCAGUGGGGAAUUUUGGACAAUGGGCGCAAGCCUGAUCCAGCAAUGCCGCGUGCAGGAAGAAGGCCUUCGGGUUGUAAACUGCUUUUGUACGGAGCGAAAAGGCUCUCUCUAAUACAGGGGGCUGAUGACGGUACCGUAAGAAUAAGCACCGGCUAACUACGUGCCAGCAGCCGCCGUAA